rnacentral:rRNA from 1 species
AAAACAACACUAUUCAACCUCAGAUCAAGUAGGAUUACCCGCUGAACUUAAGCAUAUCAAUAAGCGGAGG